AUGAAGACAUGUAAGACGGUGUCUAUGUGCACCCCACUUGAGGAGGCUCAAGGCACACAUGUGUUUAAUAUCUUGGGAUACAACAAGCAUAGAGGUAUGGGCCACGACGACAACAGUUACAUACGGUCCGGGGUUUUUGUGGUCGGCGACCACGACUGGGUCAUACGCUUCUUCCCUGAUGGGUACAAAGGAGAAGGCCAAGAUUACAUCUCAGUUUAUCUCGAGCUUUUGUGCAUCGCUGAACUCCGGGCGUCCUGCGACAUGAGACUGGUGGACCAGUGCACUGGAAUCUCGUAUUCAAUGCAUAAAACAGGACCUAGGAUUUUCAGGUCCAGUGAUAUUAGCAGGUUUGCUCCACUGACUCCUAUUUUCAUAAGGCGAAGUGAGAUCGAGGGCUCCGUUUACCUUAGGGAUGAUCGCCUGACGAUCGAAUGCAUCGUCACAGUUUUCAAGAGGCCACAUGUUACCGAAACCAAAUCGUACCCCAAAAUCGACAUGCCACCACCUGACAUGACUGACCAUGUUGCCAAGCUGCUCGAAGAAAAGGAGGGAUUUGAUGUCAGUUUCAUUGUUGGAGGAGAGAUGAUUGAAGCACAUAGGUUUGUUCUUGCUAUGCGGUCACCUGUUUUGAAAGCAUAG
rnacentral:rRNA from 1 species